ACUGGACCUGAUUUAAAGAUUCUUCCUUGAUCCCGACCUCUAAGGUUGCAUCUAUUUUAGCAGACUGGAGACCAGUAAUAGAAGCUCAAGGUGAUUUCUACCUUUAUUGUGAUCAAGGUCACCAUGUUUCCCUUUUAUAGGAAAGAGACCAUAAUGGACACAUUUGAGCUAACCAAGCAUUAUUCCAUGGCAGUGAGCUCUAUGAUGCCAUCU